rnacentral:lncRNA from 1 species
GGGCCAUAUUAAUAUGCAGCAGAGAAAUUUAAUGAUGGGCCGGACAAAUCUUGCUCGAGGGCCACAUGUGGCCCACGGGCCAGAGGUUGUCUACCCCUGUGAAGAACCAAAAGGAAUUCGUACCUGCGGUGUCUGGAGGUGGCCAUGUUGCAGUGACGUCAAGGGAGGAGUGGUCUGGUGGAGAAGAGAAAAGGCUAGAGUUUUUCUUUUUGUUUUUUAUUUAUUGUGAAAAGAAGAUAUUGACUGAAGAAUUUAUUGGUUCAACGUUUUUUCAUCUAUAUUAUUUUUGAAAGGCGAUAUGCAAAUUAAGGUGACUAUAAAGUUUGGCCGAAGUGAGGCAUCAGCAGUAUGUGUUGUUUGCUGGUUGUGCUGUUCAUUGAAGAUUGGUGUAAGUUGUUGGUGCCUGGGAUUUGCACUGAUGGUGGCUCGAUAUGGAAUUAUGAACUAUGUUUGCAUUAAUUUUUUGGAAAAAGUGUUAGUUUGAGUUUUGCUUAACCUGUUUGUAAGUUUCCUUGAUUUUAAUAAAAGUUCAUUUUAUUUAAUAUGGAGCAUUGUGUCCAAUGUUUGGAAUACGUCACUAAGUGGUUGGAGAAUAUUGAACUCAACAUCACAGUUAAGUUAAAUACGAAGAGAAAGGAGGGGACAGGGGUUAUGGAUCUGGGCAGAGGAGGAGAUGGUAACCUCUCCUUUGCACCCCUAAUUUAAACAGUUAAAAUAUAAUACAAAAUGUUGCAAUAGAAACUCUUGAUUUUAUAUCUAUAGACAUAUUAGAUAUCAUUAAUAGCUGUAAUGAAAUUUAGAUGGCAUUAUUUUAUUCUACCAAAUAUGCCAAGAUUCCAUUUAUUUUUAGUUCAUAAUGAUUACUUUUCUAUCC